rnacentral:tRNA from 1 species
CAAAAUGUAGCUUAAACAAAGCAUCCAACUUACAACUGGAAGACGUCAAAAUCACCUUCGACCUUUUUGA